UUGAAAGAGGUGUCGACACCGUAACAAUUGUUGUUGUAACAAAUGAAUAUAUAAAUAUUGUUGUGUCCCAAUCUGCCUGAAUUGAACGAAACGUGUCAUCAACAAUGGAUGUGGCGAACGUGGCGAGCAGUUCGAAUGAGUUACUGAAUAUACCAGAAAGUCGAGAACAAGAUUCGAAAGAUCCGGAUAUCAUUCCUACCAAGGACGACUGGAACUACUUACCCAAACGAAAACAAGACAAGAGUUUCUGUGAGGUUCUAGUUCCACCAGAACGAAGUGCAACGAUCCACACACGACAACAAAACUGUACUGGAGUACCUGAAGAGUCAGCGAGUAAUAAUACAUUAGUUUUGCAGAAAAAUUGUAGACGUCACUCAGAUUAUGAAAAGUGCUGCAUUACCGAGUUUUCGCUGGUUACAAAAGAGCCAUCUGUCCAGAGAAACCCAGCUGGAUGUAAUACACAGUCAACAUUCCGAAGACCUAGUGGAGAAAAAGUAUCUGAGGACUUUAAGUUUCAUUGUAACUCAAGUGGCCUUAAUAGUACGGCUAAUCAGUGAGGAAGAAGCUCGGCGUUUCGCUAUGAUAUACCAACGUUGUACAUUUCAGGAGUGUUCUGCAGCCAACGAAGCACGAAACGUUGAAACGGCAUUUCAAGAUUUCCUUCGGCUGGUUUGUUUCACGUCAGUGUGACGUUAUA